rnacentral:rRNA from 1 species
CAUGGUUGUCGUCAGCUCGUGCCGUGAGGUGUUGGGUUAAGUCCCGCAACGAGCGCAACCCCUAUCUCUAGUUGCCAGCAUUAAGUUGGGGUCUCUGGAGAGACUGCCGGCGUAAGCGUGGAGGAAGGCGGGGACGACGUCAAAUCAUCAUGGCCUUUAUGCCUAGGGCUACACACGUGCUACAAUGGCAGGUACAGAGGGCAGCGAAGUCGCGAGGCUAAGCAAGUCUCAGAAAGCCUGUCCCAGUUCGGAUUGGAGUCUGAAACUCGACUCCAUGAAGUCGGAAUCUCUAGUAAUCGCGCAUCAGCCAUGGCGCGGUGAAUACGUUCCCGGACCUUGUACACACC